GUGAAAUUUGUGACCUCAUACAAUGAAGAAGAUAUUCAAGAAAUAGUAAAAGCUAUUCUUGAGCAUGUACUGAAGGAUGGUUCAGUGAAGAGGCACAAUAGCCACUUGAUUUUAAAUGGUGGGUGAUCGAUUGGAAAUCAAGUUUUCAUUCAAUGAUACUCAAGGCUGUGAAGUGUGAACCAAGAAACCCAAGUGAUAGACUAUAGCUUUAACUUCUUCAGUGCCUUAGGGGCAAUGCACAAUGGCAAAAAAGAAGGAAAAAACUAGUUUCAAUGAAUAUGCAUGAACUCUGGAUGACAGGUUUCAUAGUCCCAGCAGCUCUCCCUUGGUAGUGUUCUCAUCUCAAACUACUUGAGCUGAAGCAAAACCUUAGGCCAUCAUGAAGCCAAGCUGCGGCAAUCAACAGUGUUUUUUUUU